rnacentral:lncRNA from 1 species
CCUCCGGCGCGGCUGCUCCCGGGCGCUUUGUAUCGCUUGCCGCCCCUGCGUGGCCGUGGGAGCGAGUGGGGGCUCCGGGAAGUCGGGGCUUCCCCGGAACCGCUGCCCCGUUUCAGCUGGGGCUGGGGCGCUGUGAAGUUCGGGAGGCGUCGGGACGAGGCUUUUGGGCGAUGGUGCUGACGACCCAGUCUGGCAGCGGGAGUUGUAGGGGAAAGGGCCCUCGGGAGCAGCGGGGCUCGUCUCUUUUCACCCGGUUCGUGGCUUGGCCGGUGCCUCGGCUCCUGAAUGAGGAGAGUGAAUAAAAUGGAAGGCACAGUCAUUCUCUUUGGCUACAGUAAUACUCUAGGUAUGACUUGUAACAAAAAAUGUAAAUAUUUAAAUGGAUUUCUGACUCAGUUCUAUUUGACUUAUUGAUCUAUGGUUACUGCUAAAAUGGCCUGUAUGAUUAUGCAGAAGUUAAUAGUUACCAUAGAGAAAGAGAUUGUUUUUCUGUUCAUCAGUGAGUGUUUUCCAUUUCUUCAUCUCUUGGCAAUUGUCUGUGGAAGUGCUGUUUUUUUCUCUUAGCAAAAGUCUUACAGAAGAAAUAAGAAUGUGAGCGAAGUCCAGAACAAUGAAUUUCAGAUGUGUUCAGCCUUGCCUGUGAUUCUUGGUACCCUGAGUUAUCCUACAGUAAACGCUUUUUAAUCUCUAAUUGCAUAGAGUGUUGGUUUUAAGCCUCGGUGAAAAUUCAGAUUUACAGGACUCUAAACCUAACACAUAAAAGAUUUUUUUUCCUAAAGUAUACAUGUGAAAUGCAAUUCAAAUGAACCAUUUAAAUCCCUACUAGCAGAAAAUCUAUUUUUCAUCUAGGGAAUUACUUUCCUGCAUUUAUUAUUUAGCUUAAAUGUGUGGAAUCUGAAGGCGCAUGUAAACUAGACAGAGCAGACAAGUUUGUUUAUCUUCUCACGUACUGUUGUGAAGCCUUCUGAUUUUUUGUUAGUAGUUUGACAGCAUUAUGCAUUUGGGAAGAAAAAAACCUAAACCAACAAGCCACAUUGGGCUCUUAAAACUUGCCAGACUUCUAAGUCUCACAUUUUAUAGUUUGAUAGAGCUGCUUGGUGUCGGAAUGAUCUGUAAGUAAUUUUCUUUCCUACCAUAAUGGAUAUGAUGGGAUAAAACCUUUCUGAAAUGGUAGUGAAAGUUUUUGCAAAAAUCACUUCCUUCCCCAGGAAUAGAAGCUACUGGGAAAAACAUUUUAUAAUAGAUUUUUUAUUGUGUGUUUGUGAGAGCCUAUUACAGCAUGGUGAAAUAUGUCUUGAAUUC